GUGUGGGGCUCAUUCCACGAGUUCCGCGCCGCAGCUAACGCAUUAAGUGCCCCGCCUGGGGAGUACGGCCGCAAGGCUAAAACUCAAAGGAAUUGACGGGGGCCCGCACAAGCGGCGGAGCAUGCGGAUUAAUUCGAUGCAACGCGAAGAACCUUACCAAGGCUUGACAUACACCGGAAUCAUGCAGAGACGUGUGCGUCUUCGGACUGGUGUACAGGUGGUGCAUGGUUGUCGUCAGCUCGUGUCGUGAGAUGUUGGGUUAAGUCCCGCAACGAGCGCAACCCUCGUCCUAUGUUGCCAGCACGUUAUGGUGGGGACUCAUAGGAGACUGCCGGGGUCAACUCGGAGGAAGGUGGGGAUGACGUCAAAUCAUCAUGCCCCUUAUGUCUUGGGCUUCACGCAUGCUACAAUGGCCGGUACAAAGGGCUGCGUUACCGCGAGGUGGAGCGAAUCCCAAAAAGCCGGUCUCAGUUCGGAUUGGGGUCUGCAACUCGACCCCAUGAAGUCGGAGUCGCUAGUAAUCGCAGAUCAGCAACGCUGCGGUGAAUACGUUCCCGGGCCUUGUACACUCCGCC
rnacentral:rRNA from 1 species